rnacentral:tRNA from 3 species
GCGGGUGUAGUUCAAUGGUAGAACCCCAGCCUUCCAAGCUGGUGGCGUGAGUUCGAUUCUCAUCACCCGCU